GACGAACGCUGGCGGCGUGCUUAACACAUGCAAGUCGAACGGAAAGGCCCCUUUGGGGGUACUCGAGUGGCGAACGGGUGAGUAACACGUGAGUAACCUGCCCUUGACUUCGGGAUAACUUCAGGAAACUGGGGCUAAUACCGGAUAGGAAUCCUUGCUGCAUGGUGGGGGUUGGAAAGCUUCGGCGGUUUUGGAUGGACUCGCGGCUUAUCAGCUUGUUGGUGGGGUAGUGGCUUACCAAGGCUUUGACGGGUAGCCGGCCUGAGAGGGCGACCGGCCACAUUGGGACUGAGAUACGGCCCAGACGCCUACGGGAGGCAGCAGGGGGGAAUAUUGCACAAGGGGCGGAAGCCGGAUGCAGCAACGCCGCGGGCGGGAGGACGGCCUUCGGGUUGGAAACCGCUUUCAGCAGGGGCGAAGCUUGUGGUGACGGUACCUGCAGAAGAAGCACCGGCUAACUACGUG
rnacentral:rRNA from 1 species